GUACUGUACUUUAUAAUAAAACAACCGUAAAAUUUCUUGGGGAUUGGUAAGAUUUUUAAUAUUUUUAUAUUAAUCAAGGCUGAAAUUAUUUGAACAAUAUAACAGUAAAACAAGUCAAGUCAAGUCAAGUCAAGUCAAGUCUGCUUUAUUGUCAAUUCUUCCACAUGUACAGUACAUACAUACAGAGAAUCGAAAUUGCGUUACUCUCAGACCCCUGGUGCAUACAGAUAACACUAACAGUAGAGCCUAAAAUCUAAAUCAAAUAUAAAAUAUAAGAUAAAACUAUACAAUAAGGGAAUGUAAAAAAAGACAUAAUAGAAAAAAAAUUAAAUAAAAAUAUGGUUAAAUAAAAGCAGCGCAAGGCACAUGGCAGAUAGAGUGCAAACCAGUGAACAAACAGUGCAGAUAAAAAGAUUUUUAGUGCAUAAAAAAAUAGCUUAUUCAGUCUGAAUAUACCUGUCUUCAUUAAAAGCUCAAUUAAAUCAGAAUUAAAUCAGAAUAUUUUAGCAGAGGGAAGAUGACCUGGAGAAACUGAAUCUGAGAAUACGGAUCAAAUAUGAGAAAGUGAAACUGUGAAGCGCAGAGCAGUUAAAUCAGUCUGAGAAUAUAAAUACAAACUAGAUAGAUGGAGAAUGUUGGUCUGAUGACUGGAUGAUGGAUGAUGGAUGGAUGGAAGGAUGGAUGUUGAAAAGAUGGAUGAUGGACGGAAGUUGGGUGGAUUGAUGGGUAGAUGGAUGGAAGGAUGUUGGAUAGAUGGAUGAAAGAUGAAUGUUGGAUGGAUGGAUGGGUGGAUGAUAGAUGGAGGAAUGGAUGUUGGUUGGAUGGAUGGUAGAUGGAUGUUUGAUGGAUGGAAGAAUGUUGGAUGGAUGGAUGGAUGGAUGUUGAAAAGAUGGAUGAAGUAAGUUGGUUGGAAGUGCAACAGGACGGUAGUCAUUGAAGCAGGAUGGAGAUGGCUUCUUCGGGACUGGAAUGAUGGAUGAAACAGUUAUAUUGUGAAAUAUUAUUACAAUUUAAGUUAAACUUUUUAGUGAUGUUACAGUGAAAUUACACAAACAAAUACAGAGAAACCCAUCAAUUCAUCUAUUUUCCAAACUGCUCGUUCUAUAUAGGGUUGCAGGGAUUCUGGAGACAAUCCUAGAGUUUUGGGCUGUGGACAGUUAAACACCCUUGACAUAGAGCCAGUCCAUAGCAGAAUACAUUACAGGUACAGAGAAGAGGUAUAUCAGUUCAGUGGCAUGACUUUACUCACUCCCGCCAGCUUUGAGUUCAGUUUCUUUUCUCUCCCUCCUCUGCUUUAGACUUUAGAAUUAAAGCACCAUUUUUGAAGAGUGUGCAUGUGUUCUCGUACCAUGGGAAACACCAGAGUGACAAAGAAACCCACAAAUAUUUGUGUCAAUAUUGUGAGAUAAAAUAGGUAAAU
ensembl:lncRNA